UUCUUUUCUAUUUUUAAAACCAACUUGCAAUGCUGUUCAUGGAGGAUGCUCAGGAAGAUGAGAGAAAAUUAGUAGGAUUAGUUGGAGAGAGUGGGAGAUAGACGAGACCCCCGCUAGUAAGAUGUUACUUUCAUUUACAAAUCCUACAGAGAGGCAGAAUAGGUGGGGUAUAGAAAAAUGUCAGGCUGUCAGUUACCCUUUUAAAUUGCUAAAAAAUUUGUAUGCUCAUAGACCAUGAGGAACAAAUACUUUUUUUUUCAUGGUCCCUUGCUUUUGUUUUUGUACAAAAAAAAUGGUUUUGCUACAAAUAUCCAAGUAGCAUAACUUCACAUUGUGUUGGAAGAUUUGUCAUCAGUGAGGAAAACAUCUGCUUAAAUUACAGGAAUUUUUGUAUUAUACAGCUCUGAAAAUUCUGCCAUUUCCUUAUUAACUAGCAGCUUUAGUUUGUAGUUUAUGAAAUCUUGAGGGGCUCUUUUACUGGGAUUUCUUAUUUUUGUUUUUCGUUUUUUCCCUCUUAAUUUGGUGGGAGGGUCAAAGUGAAUAUAACCCAAUAAAGGCUUCUUAAUGACAAAAAAAAAAGUUUUAUGUUACAUAUAUUUUACAAUUAAAAAUUUUUAAAUGAUGAAAACAUUAACACGGCGUAAUAGAAUUACAACAUUAAAACAUACCAUUC
rnacentral:lncRNA from 1 species